ACUAUGAGAUCUAAAUUAUUGGAGGGUGAAUUUCUACAGUCGAAGGUGGAAUUUUAUGAUCUGGCUGAGAUUCUCAGACAGGGUAACUUAGGUACACAAGAGGCCAUCCCACCUGAAGCUUUGCAAGGAGAGGAUAAUUAGAGCUCUCCUGCUGCUCAAAUGUAGGGACCACCAAACUACUUUGAUUAGGUCCACCUUUGUGCCAUGCAUGCAGUCAGGAAAGUUACUGAAGAUGCUAAGGUCCUGCUCAGAGGCCCGAAGCAAAAGCUCAAUGAAUAUUUUGCAGAUUUUACAUAUUGAGUUCAAGAGACUGUUGACUGUUGGUGGAGAAAUAGAGGACUCAAUCAACUCAACCUGAGACAAAUGGAAUAGUUAUGGAAAUCCAGAAAGUCUACCAGCUGCUUUGACCAAGCACCUAAAGAAAACAAGUACAGAAGACAUACGAAAUCCCCAUUUUCACACAUGAGUACCUUGACUUUAAAAGAGCUGAGUUAGAAUACUG
rnacentral:lncRNA from 1 species